rnacentral:lncRNA from 1 species
AUUUUCACUUUUGUGUUCUCUGUAUGGAGUCUGUUCUUUCUAUAAAGACAUCACUUACUCCCUGAAAUUGGCUCAGGUCUUAAUAAUUUAAAACCCUCUUUCUUUUCUUCUAAAAUUGAAACUUUGAAACUAACAGAAAGAAAUAAGAUUCUCUUGAAAAACAAUACUCUAUCUCUAAUUCCCAUGAGAAAAGGAGAGAAAGUAAAAUUCAGAGUAGAGAAAUUUCUUCUAUGAUUUAAGAACAAAAGAACAAGAGUCUCAACUUUGUACAUAUGAAUAUAAUAUAUUCGUUCAUUAUGGUUGAUACUUCCUUAAAAAGUAUAAAAGUUAAAAAAUCAAAAUAUAAGCAAUACAUUAUCUGCUAUAAUUAGAAGCAAAAUUAUAUAUACUAAUGCAGUUUUCUUCCUCAAAUAUAUUUUUACCACUCAUCUCUUCUAAUGAUUGAUUUUUGGUUUAUGAUAUAACAACCUCUGUCUUUCUUGAUUUUUUAAAACUUUUAUCAUCAACUAUGCUUAAUUAAACUACUUUUUCCAAGUGCCUGACAGGGUAGCUAAGUAAAAUACGUCAAUCAAAAUCAGAAUGUAGAGUUUGUCACUUUCCUCUGUCACAAUUGCACAUUUAAUUUUGCUACCAUCAUCACAGUAAUAACCGUUUUACAAAUAAUAUUAUUAAAAUAGCUGUCAUGAUCAAAAUACAAAUAUAUAUAUGUGUGUCUUUAUCUGUACACAUAUAUAUUAGUAUACAAAAAUCGUUUCAAAACUAAGACCUUAUCUUCUCAUAAUUUUAUCAUUUAUUGGAUAAAUUAUCAAAACAAUAUAAAUCUACAUUUAAAUAUUUUAUUAAUUUUAUAUGUAGUAUGCUACCAUGAAAAUUAUUUUCAUGUAAUUAAAAUUUAUAAUCUUGUGAAUGUUUUCCAUAGACACAGAUAUUAUACCACAAUUGUAAUUUUGUAAAAGGUUUUUUAAACUCCUAUAUGUGAGAAAUACGUAUAUCAUAAACCUCAGAAAUAUAUAUGCUUUUAAAAACUAUAUCAUAUUCAUAUUUAUGCCAAGAAGAUUCCUAAAGCAUUUAAGUAAACUAUCCAUACUAGCCAUGGUCUACAAUUAGACAAGCGUGGUUUGCUCUUUCAAUUGCUCAUAGUCUGUGGAGAAAUAUUUCUAUAUUAAUUCUGCCAUAACACUGACUCUCUUCCCCCAGUUUCCAUGACAUACAUCACCUGGUUCUCUACAAGCUAAAUGUUUUUUGGCAUAAGGUCAAUUGCCAAGGGAAUUUGCAGUGAUUAUAUUUCUUCUUGCCAAGGAAAGAAGAAGUAGGAUACAAAUAAGAAGGGAAAGAAAGUGUAAUGCUGAUAGGUUUCAGUCAUAGAAGAACACUCCCAAGUGAUAGCUUAUCCACUGGUACAGUAACAGAUGGCUAAAUUGUAUAUUGAAAAUCUAUGAGUAUUAACAAUGCAUUGUGCUGAGUCCUUGUGAGCUAAAUAUUUUGGGCAUCAGGGUCAAUUGCGUCCUAUUUUAAUGUUUGCUGCUUCAUCCUGAAAAUGAUGGAUGUUCACAUCAGCUCAGUCCAUCAGGGAGAGAGAGAAGAGAGCUACCAUGUAUUGCAGGAGGCAAUGAAAGCACCAAGUUAAAAAUGAAAGAGUUCGUCUUUAAUCACCAUUGCAAUAGUAUAAACAAGAAUCUAAAAAGGAGGGAAGUGAUGACUCCUCCUGUUCCAUUUUACUCCAUGGGAUGACAUGCAUGUUGAGGGUCCAGGGAAGGGUCGUCCCCCUGUUAAGGGAGCCCCAAACAAAAGGCUUCCGCAGGUUUCUGGACCCUGGGGGAGGGGCAGUGGGGAGAACAAGGAGGACGGGCUAAGAGUGGAAAAGUACUGGGAACUGAGUCAGCGUGAGGAAAAUAUGUUCAAGAUGUUCCCCUCUGUCCCCCACAAGGAGACCUCAGUGGGAGAGACUUGAAGAGGACCUCUGCCCAAGGCCUCAGAUAAAGAGAAGGAAGGAAGGCACAGAGGAUGGGAAGGCAAAUAUUCCACCAGUGUGACUGGCAGAGGAUCUGAGUCCUUGAUGACAAAUGUCCUCAGAGAUUGAGAUCACAGUGCAUCGGCUGUGAGCCAUGCCCGGUGUGGAACAAUGGCUUUUCCCUGUGAGGCCUGACAGGUAAAGCCUUUGUAAUUGACUGUGUUGAGCCUGGUUUUUAACCAGAAGCCGGACUCUUCUGUUUAUAUUGUGAUAACACAAUUUAGUAACAGUGAGAAUCAUUGUGGAGAAUCACUGUCAGUGCAGUAGAAGAAAGGGGCUGAUAGCCUGCGUUAGAAGCUUCACCAUAUAAUUCUUUCUACGUGUGGAUCAAGACAAUUCUUACAGCUUAAAAAAAGAGCUAUUAAAGAGAAAGUUAAAGAUACCAACUAAGUUGAAUAGUUGUGUGCCCCCGAUGCACAGGCCUCUCUUUCAAUACUCUGGAAAAUCUAGGACUCCCAGUAAUUACCACACAUUGCUUCCCAAUUUUUGAAAGAGAUGAGAGAAGGAGGGGAGAAAGAAAACACAUCUAGCGGAUGUGGAAGUGGAUUAGGAAGAAUGCUCAGUGGUCAUUUUAAGGUCAUGUAAUAAAUUAUUUCAAGUUCACCUAAAGAGCCAUGGCAUUGAGAGGGGUCUUAAUCCAAGGAUAGAUGAGAUGGAAGGAGGCUUCUGUACUAGCAAAAAUAAAUUUCCAAUGAGUGCCUCAAUGCAGGAAAUAUAGCAUAGGAUUGCUUCUUUUUUGCUUCUGUAAUCUUGAGGUCCAGUGGCAAUUCAUUACACACAAGUUCAACUGUUUAUUCCUUAUGCACAUGCUCUUGGGCCAUUUUAUUUGAGUGAUAACUGGAGAAUCAUUCAUCCAGACCUAAGAGUCCUUCAGAAUGAGAAUAGUUGUAAGUGCUGAUUAAACAUGUAUGUUUAUAACCAUAGAUCCUGGUUCCAAUAACUCCACACAUGGAAUGGCUAAAACAGGAGGGGAGCUUCUGGCUUCUGCUGGAAUGAUAUGGAUUCUAGAAGAAAGGUGUCAUCCAGGCUGCCAGGGCACCCUUUGAGGCAGGCCAAUGCAAAUUUGAAUGAUAAACUCUAUUGGGGGAAGGGGCAUAGAAAUAAUCUAUAGCGGUCAAUGCAGUUUAAUCGCACUUUGGAGGACAGCGCCCACCUGCACCCACUGUUGCUGAGGUGAGCGACUCAGGCUUGGGAAGGAACUUGUCUAUCCCUGGGGAAGCACCACUGACAGAGGUUACUAAGUUACAGAGGAAAGACACCCAGAAUGAAAUGAGCCUGAGGGAUUUUUUAAAGAGUUAAUAUCCCCACGGAAAAUCAGGGUAAAAUAUAGAUUAAUUUCAUAUUUAUAAUACUUGGAACAAUACAUUUAGCUUCAUAUUGACUCUAACAUAAAAACAUGCUUAAAAUUACUUAAAACCAUGUUUUGUGAGAUAAAUUAAAUGAUUUUAAAAGAUUAGAAUGUAUCUUGCAUUUAGUCUGACAGUCAAGUAAGUGCUUUAUGCUAGGAAAGUGAAUCUUUAUGUAAUGGUCCGAAAAGCUACUAUUUCAAUGUAUUUAGUCUUUGUCAGAUCAGCAUUAUGACUAACUGCAGGAGAUGAACCUUGAUGUUUCAUAGAUUUAUAUACUCAUGAAACCUCAAGUCCUGGUGCCAGAGUCUCAGUCCUAUUUGCCAUUGGUACAGAAAUGAGGCUCUGCCUGUUUGAAUCCAUUGACUAAGUGUAUCUCAAAUUACUGCAUGUAAUGUAAUUUCAUGUUUUCUUUCUCUUUUUUUAUUUUAUAUUAUGUAAAGUUCGAGUAUAUUUUGUAUAAUAUAAACAUAUGAAACAGGUCAUAUAUACUAGUCAGUGGCUUAAACUUUUUUGGGAGAAAUUACAUAAUGCACCAAGAGCUUUCUAAAGUGUAAGAUACACAAACUGGUAUAUGGAAAAUGUGUGCAAUUAAAUUACAGAAGUUAGCAGAGCUUAAGGACUCAAAAAUUUCAGGUAUGGGAGUUCCAUUGUGGCUCAGCGGUAACAAACCCGACUGGUAUCCAUGAGGACUGGGGUUUGAUCCCUGGCUUCGCUCAGUGUGUUAAGGAUCUGGCACUGCCACGGGCUGUGGUAUAGGUCACAGACACAGCUCAGAUCUGGCAUUGCUGUGGCUGUGGCGUAGGCUAUCAGCUAGAGCUCUGAUUUGACCCCUAGCCUGGAGAUUUCCAUAUGCUGUGGACACAGCUCUAAAAAGACAAAAACAAAACAAAACAAAACAAAAACCCGGGGCCCUAAACCUGAGUUAAUCAGGUGAAACAAUUUCAAUUGGUGACUGAUGUAAAUUUUAAAUGUAAAAUUGUAAAAUCACAGACAUGUAAGUAUUUUUCUAAUUUUUCUAAGCAUGACUCCAAAAGAAAAGAGCAUGAAGAAGAUAAACUAUAUAUAAAUAAAACAAAUAUAUCUUUAUACUACUUGGCAAAUACACUAAAGAGUUCAUGUUGCCUGUUCUUUUGUAUGAUGGAUGAAAAUGUACUAAGCUCACUAGCUUUUUUUUAUGGCUAUAAAUACAGAGAUAGAGUCAAGACUUCUCAUUUCUUCAACUGAAUUUUUCCGUAAAAAUGUUUUUUAUUGAAUUUGCUUUCAUUAACUUAUCUUUUCACUAUUUGUUGCAAAUGAAUAGUGAAGUGAUGAAAAGAUAGGUGCCAAGGGACAAGAAACAAAAAACAAAGCAAAACAAAGCAAAACAAAAAAUAGAUUCUGAUUGUACCAAACAGAUCUUUUUACAUUUUCAGGCAGAGUUUAAGCGUUGUGUUCCUUUUAUAAGUAAAUGAUAGAACUAUUUAGAAAAGUCACACAAAUGAAUUCCUAUGAUCUCUAACUGGCAUUAGGAAGCCAAUUCAACCUGGGAAGAAUUAAGUAAAAGCAAGACAAAACAUUCAAACUAGAAAAUUUAUGCUCAAGAAAUUUUGAAAUUAAUGAUAAUCUGAUGUGUGAGAUGUAUGCCUAAUAUAUUUGUCAUAGAUCCAUCUAGGAUAUUUAGAACAAAGUGCAAAAACAUCACUGUGGGUGCGGAAGAAAAAAAUGGAAAAUGAGUUAGCAUCAUUUUGCAAGAAUGUCAAAUUUCGGAAUGACUUUAAGGAAAGCAGAAUUAGCAAACCAGUACAGUAAUAAAGCCUGGUUUAAACAAAAGAUCAUCCCAUGGCCAGGUCUGAAUCUGAGUAAAAAGUGAGUAUUAGUAAGACAUUACAUUUCCUGUUAUUUUCGUUAUUAAGUCGCUAUUGUCAUUUCCCUCAUUUUGGAAAAGCACUAGGUGUAGAAUGUCUGCUUUUGAUUAAAAAUAUGUGCCAGUAUUUCUGUACAGAUCCCAAUCAUAAUUAAAGAUUGCUAUUCCUAUUGUCUCAAGAGAUGUUUUGGAAAUUACAUCUCAUUUAGAAAAAUUACUUUCCUUUUUAUCUAAUAGUUAUACUUCUUUUUGUUUCUCAAAAAUAAAAUAAAAUGACCUGUUCUAUAAAGGUUAAAGCCAUUGUUUUAAAUACUCUUUAGCUCAUAAUGGAUUUUUUAUUAUAGUCGCCUUGGUGAGUUUAGUUAAUAAAUGAAUCUUCUCGACAACUGUCAUAUGCUUUUCCUUCUGGAAGUUUGUCACAUUGCAUCAUUAUCCAAAAGCUCAGCUCUUUGAUUUAUGUUUAAUAGGGCAAAGGAGAACUCGGCCAAGUUUAAAAGAAAAUGAGAAAUUAAAAAAAAAAUCUUUCAGUAAGUGUGGUUACAACUUAAUUUUUUCUUUUUAUUCUUCAAACUUGGGCAUUUUCUUUUACUGCACCCUUUAUUUUCUUCCAUAGCAUUAGUGAACUCUGUUUAGAACUAUCCUAAUAGAAUCUGAUUACUUGCCAUAAACCUAGAAAGAAUGUCUUAACAUCUUCAGCUCUGACUCUCACUGGCAUCUGAAACUCAAAGUGUACAUUAUGAACCAGAUGUUUAAGCCACUUCUUUCUACAUUUCCUGUUUCAGAAAUGUACCCCAUUAUGUACAUCACAUUGGCUCACUAUAGUGAUGACAUCACAUUCAUUAUGACCGAUGAGCAAGAAGUGGCAAGUGGUGUUUCCAUCGUGGCGCAGUGGUUAACGAAUCCGACUAGGAACCAUGAGGUUGAGGGUUCGAUCCCUGGCCUUUCUCAGUGGGUUAAGGAUCCGGCGUUGCCAUGAGCUGUGGUGUGGGUCGCAGAUGCAGCUCGGAUCCUGUGUUGCUGUGGCUCUGGUGUAGGCCGGUGGCUACAGCUCCGAUUGGACCCCUAGUCUGGGAACCUCCAUAUGCUGCAGGAGUGGCUCAAGAAA